CUGGCAUUCAUGUUUAAUUGCAGUUAAACAGUGCAGCUCCAUGAUCUGUCAGCAUGGAAUCAACACAGAUAGAGAUUCGGCCACUGCAGGACAGA
rnacentral:lncRNA from 1 species